rnacentral:SRP_RNA from 1 species
GUCGGGCAUGGUGGCGCAUGCCUGAAAUCCCAGCAUCUUGGGAGACUGAGGCAGGAGAAUCGCUUGAACCCAGGAGCUGGAGGUUACAGUGAGCCGAGAUAAGGCCACUGCACUCCAGCCUAGGCAACAGAGUGAGACUCUGUCUCAA